rfam:Bacteroidales bacterium Barb4 Barb4_contig_165, whole genome shotgun sequence.
AACGGAGAAGCCGAAAACCGAAUAGAGUAGGCA